rnacentral:rRNA from 1 species
GGGUCAGUAGGUUGGUCGUGCCACCGGUACGUACUGGUCUCACUGAUUCCUCCUUCCCGAAGAACCGUAAUGCCAUUAAUUUGGUGUUGCGGGGAGACAGGACUGUUACUUUGAAAAAAUUAGAGUGUUUAAAGCAAGCUAACGCUUGAAUACAUUAGCAUGGAAUAAUGAAAUAGGACGAUCGAUCCUAUUUUGUUGGUUUCUAGGAUUGACGUA